CAGGGAUUGCCUCAGUAACGGCGAGUGAAGCGGCAACAGCUCAAAUUUUAAAGCCGGCGUCCUCGACGCCCGCGUUGUAAUUUGGAGAGGCAUCUUCGGUUUGGGCGCCAGCCUAUGUUCCUUGGAACAGGACGUCACAGAGGGUGAGAAUCCCGUGCUUGGCUGGCUGUCCCUCUCCAUGUGAAGUGUCUUCGACGAGUCGAGUUGUUUGGGAAUGCAGCUCAAAAUGGGUGGUAAAUUUCAUCUAAAGCUAAAUAUUGGCGGGAGACCGAUAGCGCACAAGUAGAGUGAUCGAAAGAUGAAAAGCACUUUGAAAAUAGAGUUAAAAAGUACGUGAAAUUGUUGAAAGGGAAGCGCUUGAGACCAGACUCGGUCGGGGACGAUCAGCGGCCCUUCUGGGCCGUGCACUCGUCCUCGGUUCGGGCCAGCAUCGGUUGAGGCGGCGGGAUAAAGGCCCGGGGAAUGUGGCUCCUCUCGGGGAGUGUUAUAGCCUCGGGCGCAAUGCCGCCAGCCUCGACCGAGGACCGCGCUCUUUUGCUAGGAUGCUGGCGUAAUGGUCUUCAGCGACCCGUCUUGAAACACGGACCAAGGAGUCUAACAUCUAUGCGAGUGUUUGGGUGUCAAACCCUUGCGCGUAAUGAAAGUGAACGGAGGUGGGAACCCCUCCUCUGGGGGGGCGCACCAUCGACCGAUCCUGAUGUCUUCGGAUGGAUUUGAGUAGGAGCAUAGCUGUUGGGACCCGAAAGAUGGUGAACUAUGCCUGAAUAGGGUGAAGCCAGAGGAAACUCUGGUGGAGGCUCGCAGCGGUUCUGACGUGCAAAUCGAUCGUCAAAUUUGGGUAUAGGGGCGAAAGACUAAUCGAACC
rnacentral:rRNA from 1 species